ensembl:lncRNA
GUUUUAUUACUUGCAGUGUGCGUCGCAUUGCAAGGCUGCAUUGGGAGCAGGAAAAGCGUUGUGUCACCAAACCUCUCCCACUACGUGAGCCUCAGCAAGGGGAGCAAAGCAAAGGCCUUUGUGGCUGAAGUGGCAGCUGAUCUUGGUGCACUGGCAGCCCAGCUGAGGGAGGAGGGGUCGGGGCAGAGGACAAAUGAAGACGAAAAGGGACAACAAAAAUGCAGUUUAUAGGGAAGCUUUGAGCUUUCUGCGGAGGACAAGGACUUGUUAAGACCCACAUGCAGAAUAUGAGCUUCAGCCGACCCUCCCUGCAAACAGCUCCAAGUGUUUGGAUCCCCUGCCCAAGCCCAGUUCCUUUCCCAAGCUUUUCUCACGUUGGGCUGCCAGGCUGCUCCACGCCAGUGGGUCCUGUGAGCACUGCAGCAGAGCCGAAAGCACAACGAAUGCCAUGCAGAGACUUUGCUGCUUGUGAACUGCUGCUCCCAGGCCUCACUUGGUUUUCCUUUCCUAUCCAUGCAAACAGCCAAGACUUGGCAGUGGAUGGCAACAGCAGUAAGGAGAAGCCACGGAAGCAUCGUCCACACGCACAGCCCAGUACAGCCAAAUGGGCAAACGGCGUGUCAGCAUUUGCAGCUCAUCAGCAAGGAGUUCUGGCUGCUCCCCUGGGUAUGACGCCCCCUCCAUCUCCACUCUCCUCAGAAGCAGCCAGCCCAAGCGGAAUCAUUCUGCCCUUUCACUCAGCAGCAGCACUGGCUUUUGCAAAUUAAGGGCCAGAACAGAGAGGUGAUGAGACAAAAACUCAGCCCAGCUUUCAGACAUAGUUGCUACCCACCGCCUUAAGGGCAGAGAUCCGUACCCUGUGUGUGUGCUGCUGUUGGGACAUGGAGGCAGAGGCGGUUCAUUCUGCUUUUUUUUUCCAUUGUGCAUGGGUACACAACGUG